UCAGCAGGCUGUUCUAUCGCUGUUCUGAUUUAUCGGAAGAGAGGAAAGUCCGGACAACACAGGGUGCCAUACUUCUUAACUGGAAGAUCUUCGUGAGGGGAUAGUAGCGUAACAGAAAAUAACCGUCUCGAUUUUAUUGGGAUAAGGGUGAAAAGGUGAGGUAAGAGCUUACCGGUGCUGUAGGUGACUAUAGCAGCCGUACGUCUUAUGGGUUGAAAGAUCAAAUAUACCAGCGCAGUAGGGUGUCCCGCCCGAUGCUGGGGGUAGAUCGAUUGAGCCCUGCAGUGAUGCAGAGCCUGGAUAAUGAUAGAAAUUUCAAUAUUUUGAGAUACAGAAUCCGGCUUAUAGGCCUGCUGUUUUU
rnacentral:RNase_P_RNA from 1 species